UACGUAGGGGGCUAGCGUUGUCCGGAUUUAUUGGGCGUAAAGAGCGUGUAGGCGGCCAGGUAGGUCUGGUGUGAAAACUCGAGGCUUAACCUCGAGAUGUCAUCGGAAACCAUUUGGCUAGAGUCCGGAAGAGGAGAGUGGAAUUCCUGGUGUGGCGGUGAAAUGCGCAGAUAUCAGGAAGAACACCCGUGGCGAAGGCGGGUCUCUGGGCCGAUACUGACGCUGAGGAGCGAAAGCGUGGGGAGCGAACAGG
rnacentral:rRNA from 1 species